CCCGUUACACCAAGUACCAAGUACCAAGUUUACCUUAACGAAUUGUGCAGUUUGACUAUUCCACAAUGUCGUAUCUUUGCUUACGCUGAUGAUACGGCAUUAAUCGUCUCUGGGAGUCGCUGGGCCGACACGGUUGCUUCUGCAGAAUCUGCAUUCAGCUUUGGAAUACCUUAUAUGUCAAGUUUAUAUCGGACAAUAUUACUUGUUACAUGUAUAACGCAUCGAUAAUGCAUGUGUAAUGUUUUUAUCAAGCUUACACAUGCCCUUGGAUUCUCAUUGGAGUAAACAGAGACUAUCGAUCGCCAUUGACGAACAAGUCGUGGACCUGGAUAUAAGCGACCCGCC